UAUUCCCAUUUGCUUCCUUCAGACGCCUCGAAGCCAAGAAACGUCCAGGUCUCAACCUGUGCCUCACUCUCUCUUCUGCUGAUGGGUGGUACGCGUGUAACACCUCCGCAUUCAGAAACCGUGAUGACGAAUCCAAUAUCAAACCCAUGGCUGGAAAGUUGCAAUAAAGCCUUGUUUAAGAAAGUGGUCAUGUACCAGGCAGUGAGCAAUUCCUUUCAUCUAGAUGUUGGAUGCAUCACACACACUUAUCUACAGAUGAGCUAAAGAGACAAUUUGAUCAAGAAGGAUUAGUCGCAUCUACUAAGCAUUCCUUUGCUGAAUAGUUGAUGCAUUCUCAUUUGUUAAGAAUAAAGUGACACUAUUGGCUAUGCUAAACAUGCCAAGUUCUAUCAAAAGCAAAAUAAAGAACUCGAAUUUCCUGAAGACUUCAAACGUGCCCUAAACCUGUAAGAGAUUAUCCAAAGGUUUGAUGGAGCUGCAGCAUGGCUGUUGAAAGGGGUUUUGAAAGUGGUCUUGUAACUUGCAGUAAGUGCAUUCCUUUCACCCAGUUAGAUCAAAUUGCUAUACGGUGUUUAUAUUGGCUUUUCCAGCUAUUAUAUCUACUCAUUUCUUCUCAAGUUGCAUUUUUUUUAGCUUUAUUUCAAAUGAAUACAAUCCGGUUUUGUGAGUAUUUUGCUGCUAGCUUGAGCAUUUUUUGUAUGAUUCUCAAUCUUUUGAUUGGAUUAAUAGUAUUUUUUUGGGAAAUAAACUAAAAUGUUAGUGGUUCAGGAAUUAGAGGCUAUGCUGAAUGAAUUUAAAUGAAAAGAAUAAACUUUGAAAUGAAAUUUUAGGAAUUGUGCUUUAAUUUUGAUCUUUUGUACUUAAAACAUGAGAUGCAAUCAGUGAGGGAGAGAGGGAGAAAAUAAUUGAUAUGUAUAUUUCAUCAAAUAACAUUUUAGGGCCUUAAUAAUAUGAUUGUUGUGACAUUCAAUAUUUUUUUUUUUAUCAGUGCAUGGCAUUUUUUUUUUAAUGUUGAAAAGCUUUACAGACGUUCUUAUGCGUAGAAGUUCAAAAGAGACUGUGAUCAAGAAGGUAGGGAAUUAUAAAACACAUUAUCUGCAGUUUAAAAAUGCCUGAUUGAACUCUUUAUUAGAACUAAUUUCUAUCUACAUGUUUUUGCCAUGUGAAUCAAUUAGAAAGAUCAAUACAUGUAGAAUAAUAUAUACACAAACUUAGGGAUAGCCAUAUGAAGAAAUGAGGGUAUGGACUGCAUAGUGCGCUUGCACACAUGGGAACAUGGGUAUGUUUGUUGUGCUGCGCACAACAAAUGUAUGUAUUGUUGUAACUUGCAGUUUUCUAGUAGUUCAUAAACUUCUGUUCAUCAUUGUAUACGUCCACGGGGUUUUACCAUUUUCCAAACUGGUUUAUAGGUUAGAAGAAGUUUCUAAAAGAUUUGAGGUUAUAUCAAAUUGAUCUCUCCGUCCAAAUUUCAUUAAUUCAUCCACAAAAACUUAUAAAGUUGCAUUUUUUUACCACGUUAUGAAAAAUCAUGGACAGACAUGUCACCUACGCAUGAGUCUAAAAACACAACCUAUCACAUCAACCUAAAGUAUUAAAAAACUAAAUAUACAAUGAAAUAAAGUGUACAAAAUAAAUCAAUUUAAAAUAAUCAACUUCAUUAGAAAAUGAAAACUAAAAACUACUUAAAAGCUUUCAAUAAACAAUUGAAUUUAAAUUAUAGUCAGAUAGGAAAACUUUAAAAAAUUAAAAAAUUAAAACUUAAUAUUAGAAAAAAUCAGAGUGGAGGGAUCAUUUUGAUAUAUGGAUUUUUUUUUUUUAAAUAGUUAGUAAGAAUUUUAUUACCAAGCAUAGGCAUAGCCUAAGUAUACAGGAAGUAUACAAAGGAAAUACCUACUACACACUAGAAAGCAGGAAACUACGAUAGAAACAGAUUCAGUACAUUAUCAUCAUUCCUUACAAAUAUCCUAUAGCCCACAAACUCAAAGUAGAAAAGAAAAAAUAGCGAAGAUCUUCAAAGUGGAGGGAUCAGUUUGAUAUAUGGAUGUUACUUUAAGGAUCUCCAAGAGAUGUUUUCAACUCGAGGUACCAGUUUGGAAAAAGGUCAAAAUGUUUCUAGUUGAGUCUACGUGCAUCUAGAGUGCCUCGGACAGCUUUUGUAGGUAUUUUAAGGCCUACAAUUUUCUAGUAGUUUAUAAAAGAAUCAUAUUGAAUAUUAAAAUGAAGAGGCGAUGAAUGAGAUUGGAAAAAGUUAAAGAUGUACAAAGUUAAAGAUAUUUUGUUCCGUGGAAUUAGAAGGUAAUGAGAAUUUAUUGGGUUCCCCCAAAAGUGGACAAAACCAAGAUGGAGGCUUUUGAGAGAAAUAUAAUGAUGUAAGCAUUCUCUUCCAUUUGUUCCCUAUAGGAGUGGUGUUCUUUCUCUACAUUUCAUUUCCCUUGGAUAAUUGCAUUCCCCCCCAUCCAAAAUUGGUUCAAGGAUUUUAUGACCUAAUAACAACUUAUUAGUCGGUUUACUGAAUUUUUUAGAAAUCCCUUGCGUGAAUCUUAGUGAUGUUAGAAGUUUUUGCAUGUAAUGCUAUGGUUGAAGUUUAUUGCAUUAUGUUAUAUAAGAUUAUAUUCUCUACAAAAAGUUACAUGUUUUUGUCAUAAGGAAGUAAAUAUAUAGACUAUAUUAUGUACAAACACAACAUUUGCAGAUAAGGCCAUUUGUAGAGGUAAAACUCUAGGCCACUAUUGAACAAGUAACUGCUACAGACCAUCUAGAUGGAUUGGGCACUCUUUAUUGGUACAACCUAUUUAAUCAUACUUGGUCUUUAGAUUUUUACCAAAACAGCAUUCUUUACCCCACCAUUGUUCAACAUAAGGGUAUCAACACCACUUGACUACAAACUAGCAAGAUCAAUUAUGCAAAAUAACUCAACCGAACUUACAAGUUUCCUUUGUAUAGGAAGUGCUAGACAACAGUCUCUCAAUUGGCAUGUUGUUUGCAUAGUUUUUGUAUAGGAAGCUUUUAAAGACAAUUGAGUUGAAUAUUUUGUAGGGCUAUUAAUUUUUUACACUACCCACGAACUCAAUAUGAACUCGAUGCAUAAUAAUAGGGUUAGGUUUGGGCAUAAUCAGGUUUAGAUCAUUUUGGGUCGACUUGAAUUUGACCCAGUGAGUAAUAAUUGGGAUAACCCAGGUGAUUAGCCAAACAAAAAGAAUUAUGUGGGUCUUUUGAGUUAUUGUAUUUAAAAUGCUAAAAUAUAGCACUUAUUUCAGAUCUUUUGGUAUACUUUUCUUGUAUGCCUUUGUCUAAUUAUCGAACAGUAGGAAUGAUCAAUACUUGUGAAUAUGUUUUAAUUUUUCCUUUUUUAGCUUUUAAUUUUGAAAACAAGCUGUGUCGGGUUAACCACUAAAAUUGGCAUGUUGGAUUUGGGUUGAAGCAAAACCCAUUUAAUUAUUCAAGUUGCUUUCAUGUUGACUUAGAAAUGACCCCGAAUGAUUCGAUCCCGAAACAACCAGUCCCUAUUAAGAACCCUAAAAUUAUGAUAGGUUAAAGUUUUGGACCCUUAAGUUCUGAUUCUUUUGUUGGUAUUUGCACUUUGACCCAUAAACUUUUUCUAUUUUACUUCUCCUAUAUUUUUGUUUCUAUACUUAUUAUGUUUUAAGCAUUUGAAGUCCUGUACGGCCUAACACUAAUUGCCAAAUCCAACAUUUCUAUCUUCAUUUUAGCAUGCCCCAUGCCCCAUCUUAAUAUUCAUGGGCCGAAAAUCUUAUGCAGUUUCAACCUUUAUUUUUUAACAAACCAGAUCAUGUUUCUGUACAUCUAAUGACCUUGAAUCACAGGAGAUUCUAAAGUAGGCUCGCCAUUUAAUGAAGAAGGUUCACAACCCAAAAUGCUGUAGCAUCAUACAAUCUUUGGAUAUGAUAUGCAUUUUUUAGAUUAUCAAACUCUCAUAAUGAUAUUAAUAUCCAAGAACAUUCUUAUAUUUUUAGAGAGUUUGCUGAAGGACGUGCUUCCUGGAUGGAAAUGACUACUAAUUGAGAUAUUAUCUUGUUGAUGGUAUCUAUAUCCUUCGUGGUCGACAUUUAUCAAAACAAUUUAUGCUCCACAUGGCAAUAAGAAAAGACAUUUUGUUGUAGCCCAAGAGUCGGCAUGGAUUGAUGUAGAAUAGGCAUUUGGAGUGCUUCAAGCACGAUUUGCAGUUGUAAGCAGACUUGCACAAUUUUUUAAUCGUCCAACCCUAAAAGAAAUUAUGAUGGAACGCAUAAUUUAACAUAACAUGAACGUAAAAGAUGAGCGAUAUUCAUACAAGUAGGGAUGAGUAACUUGGGAUUCUAAGUUGUCAUUCAAGGAUGCCAUGAGGUUAGUCAUGAUAGCUUUCUCCUCCCUUGAAGAUAUGAAUGUCGCUCAUAUUUUACGAUCAUGUUAUGCAAAAUUAUGCAUGCCAUUAUAAUUUAUUUUAGGGUUUGACAAUUAGAAAAUCGUGCAGGUCCGCUUACAAUUGAAGCAAUCCAAGUGCCCGUUUGAUAUCUUUCCUAGCUUAUUCUUGAGUUAUAGUAAAAUGUUUUUUCUUAUUUCUAAGUGGAACAUGAAUUGUUUUGACAAAUGUCAAUCACGAAGGAUGCAUACCAUUGGCAAGAUAAUAUCCUAUUGUGUAGUUAUUUACAUUGAUUUAGUAGUUGACUCUGGGAGCACGUCUUUUUGCAAGCUCUCUAAAAGCAGAAAAAUGUUCUAGGACAUUAAUAUCAUUAUGAGAUCCUAAUAACUCAAAAAAUGCAUGUCAUAUUCGAAGAUUGUAUGACCCUAUGACUUCCAACAUUAUCGUUGGUUCAUGAAUAUGACCACAAAACAAUAUCCAAAAUUACGAUGAAUAUGAAUUUGGGACAAUUUUUUCAUUUCCAUUACAUUCUUGAAAACCCACGAUUUUCUCCAGCUGCUAGCAUUGUCAUUUGGUAACCUUAGAUAUUGAUCGAAGAAUAUGCAAAUUUACAGCCUUAACAAACUUCUUCAAACACUCAGUUGUUGUAUUUUCUGCAAUACAUAAUUUUUUUUAAGAGUGGAAUGCCCAAGCCUUCUAACAACAUUUCUUCUUUGGAUGAAAUAUGAUUCGUACCCGUCAACUGUAGCUUGAAUACGCAAAAAAUGAGGACACUUGAAACCUCUUACAAGAUACAUUCAGGGGAUAUAAGAUAAAAAAAAGGAGAAAAAUUGUGCAAAGAAAUGGAAAUGAAAAUGUUGGUGAAACUUUAGGUCUUAUCUAUAGUUGAAGUUUUGAGUAAACCAAACUAAGGUAUAUUCUCUUAAUAUACUCAAGAAUAUGUGAGAAUAUUCUUUUACAACUAUCGAAAAUUGAUAUAUAUAAUAUUUUUUCACAAUUGUCAAAAAUGGAUAUUCUCAAAAUUUGCAAACAAUAUCUUGAGAAUAUUUUUUCACAAUUACAGAAAUGAAUAUUCUCAUAAAAUAGUUGAAAAUAUUCUCAUAAUAUAAUCUCUUUAUUUAUAUAUAUUUUGAAUCAAUUUCAAUUUUGGUUUGACUUAUAAAUUUGCAUUAGUUUGAAAUAGAACAUAAUUAUAUGACAUUGAAUGUAAGGAGAUAUUACAAAUAUCAUAAGAUAUGAUGAUGUUAUUGGUAGUUAGAGGAAAUAUUUGAACUGAAUCAAAAAAUACUUAAAAGGAUAUAAAAAAUAAUAAUAGAUAAGCUGACGAAUGGUAUAUUGUAAAAGUCAGCAUAUAAAAUAGAAAAAGUGAGUUUUGUUAAUGUGUUUUAAAUGACAGUAUAAAAAAACCAUUGUGGGUGCUCUAAUAACAUUUAUAGACAUAUAACAAUGUAUUCAGUUCGCUCUAUAAACUUUUAUUUGCUGAGAUCGUUUACUUUUACCUUUACAUAUCUCAUUAUAUAUAGAGUAAACUGAAUAUAUUUACAUACAUACAUACAUACAUAUAUAUAUAUAUAUUAUGUUUUGAAGAAUGAUGGAGCAUGUGAGGAGAGAGAGAAACAAAAAAGCCAGGUGGCCGAAAUGCUGCCAACCUAAACCUAGAGUGUCAGGACUAGGCAGUAGGCAGACAGUAGAUAAGCCCUACUUGACCGACUUUGCACUUUUUAAUUAAGCGGUAAGGCACCUGGCACUAUUAAUAGGGGGAGCAUUGGAUAACUUGUGUGUAGUGAGAAGUGAAAAGCGGGAGAGGGUAAAGAGGUGAGGUGCGAAGUGUAAAGUUGGCAAGGAAGGCAAGGAAAAGGAAAAAAAAUCGUAAGUAGAGGUUCAAUAUGCGAGGUGAGGAAGAAAAGGGUUUUAUGAUUGAUCAAUGUAAGUAGAAACUGUUCAAGUCCUAUGAACAACUUUUGGGUUAAUAUUUGUUGUUUCAUAACUGUUAUUUAGUUUAUUUCACUACUAUUGCUAAUCCAACUGUUAUUCCAUAUUUUCUGACUCAUUAUUUAUUGUUUUCCUAGAUUUGAGUCUUGACUAACCACCUAACAGUUUAUUAUAACUAUGGCUACCCCUAACAUUUUUAUAAUCUAGUUAGCUAGACCAUGAUUCUGUUGUCAUAGUUAUCAUUUUCUUUUAUUUUGGUAUGGUCUCAUGCUGGUUUAUCACGAUGGAAAUCAUAUGCUUUUAGUCAGAUAUAAUUGAAGAUAAAUGAAUUGACAACUUGUGCUAUUUUUCCUUCACUCAGCAAACAUUGCACAUGUUUGUAUAGAUGACAUUGCUUUUGAUCAUGUCAUUGAUGGUAUUAUGAACAUAGGUUCAGUCAUUUUGUAAUAAAAGACUCAACAAAGGAUGUUUCAAUCCUAAGACUAGCACUAGGCUGAUUAGAGACAAUGCAAUAUAUCCAACGGAGGAUUAGUCCUUAGGGGUAUGUAUACCCCAUGCUAGGAGAUCACUAAGGUUUGGUUUGGUAACAAAUUUUUUUUAUCUUAAAUUCAAAAUUCUCAUCUCAUCAUUACAACUUUUCCAAAUCCCUAUACAAAAUAUAAUAAAUAAUUCAACUUUUUUUUAACUUUUUUAAAUCCCAAAACAAUAAUAAUAUUAAAAUAUAAUAUUUUAAUAUUUCAUCUUAAAAUUCAAAAUUUUCAUCCCACUUACCAAACCGAACCUUAAGUCCUAUGAGAGGACAUCUGUUUGGAGGCUGAACAGUGAAUAAUGCAAGUUAAGGAGGGAAAAAAAAUUUGUUGAGAUAAUUGUUGCAAUAGUUGAUAUUAAUAAGCCUGAUGAUAACUGUUUAGGCCAUUGAUAUCUACUUCAUAUGAUAAUAAUUCAUUGUAUUUUCUACUGUUCAUUAUUACUUAUUAUUUGCUCCUUGUUAUCUGUGUAUGGAUAGUCUGCGAGUCUUCUCCUAGAGAGACAUCCAUUUAAGGAUAAUUAACGGCCAAUGGCAGGACAAAUGUCUAACCUCCCAAUAGUCGAGUUAUACUAGCCCCCGGCAGCACCCGUGAUGGUGAUCCCUUCUCCACCAGGAAACAAGGGGACUUAGAGGACUUGUUCUGUGAGGAUGGGGAUUUGAGCGGAGCUUAUCCUUAGGACAAAUAGGAAGGGUGCCACUACCAUCCAAGGGAGAGGAAACUUUAUAUAUAACCCUUUUAUGUUUUAGGACAUUUUUGUAAUCCACUUUUCUGUUAGUACAUCUCCCAUAUCCAUCUUGUUUUCUUAAUAUAACAUAGUUCUUUCA